rnacentral:rRNA from 1 species
GUGGGGAAUCUUCCGCAAUGGACGAAAGUCUGACGGAGCAACGCCGCGUGAGUGAAGAAGGUUUUCGGAUCGUAAAGCUCUUUCGUUAGGGACGAACGUGCUCUUUGUGAAUAAUGAGGAGUAAUGACGGUACCCAAAGAAUAAGCUCCGGCUAACUACGUGCCAGCAGCCGCGGUAAUACGUAGGUGGCAAGCGUUGUUCGGAAUUAUUGGGCGUAAAGCGCGCGCAGGCGGGAUAUCAAGUCUAUCUUAAAAGUGCGAGGCUCAACCUCGUGAGGGGACAGAAACUGGUAUUCUUGAGUGUCGGAGAGGAAAGUGGAAUUCCAAGUGUAGCGGUGAAAUGCGUAGAGAUUUGGAAGAACACCAGUGGCGAAGGCGACUUUCUGGACGAUGUCUGACGCUGAGGCGCGAAAGCUAGGGGAGCGAACGGGAUUAGAUACCCGGGUAGUCC